rnacentral:piRNA from 1 species
UUCCACUGAGUCAGGCCCACGCCUCC